rnacentral:tRNA from 1 species
GACAGAUGAAUGUGUUAGAUUUAGGAUCUAACUAUGCGAAAAAUUCGCAGGUAAUA